UACAGAGGUCUCAAGCGUUGUUUCGGAUUCAUUGGGCGUAAAAGGGUGCGUAGGUGGCGCCGUAAGUCGGGGUGUGAAAAUUUUCGGAGCUUAACUCCGAAACUGCAUUCGAUACUGCGGUGCUUUGAGGACUGGAGAAGGAGACUGGAAUUCAUGGUGUAGCAGUGAAAUGCGUAGAGAUCAUGAGGAAGACCAGUGGCGAAAGGCGGGUCUCUGGACAGUUCCUGACACUGAGGCACGAAGGCCAGGGGAGCAAACGGG
rnacentral:rRNA from 1 species